GUAUGGAGGUGUCCCGGGGGCGGCGUCGCGGGGCGCCUCAUGCCCAGACUUCAGGGGGCUGUGCGUGCGGCUGGCGGCGGAGCUGGGGACGCUGGGCGCCCUCGAGCAGCAGCGAGAGGCGGGCGCGGAGGUGCUGAGCGCCGGCGACGGUAAACACGGAGCGGGAGGGUGGCAGGGGGGCCGCCACGGGGCCACCGAGCCCUGACACCCCUGUCCUCGCAGGCCCUGGCGCGGAGGAGGACUUUCUGCGGCAGCUCGGCAGCCUGCUGCGGGAGCUGCACUGCCCGGAUCGCGCGCUCUGCGGCGGGGAUGGCGCGGCAGCGCUUCGGGAACCCGGUGCCGGACUGCGCCUGCUGCGCUUUCUCUGCUCAGAGCUCCAAGCCACCCGCCUCCUGUGCCUGCGCUCUCUGCUGGAUCCGAGUCCUAGGCCACCCCUUGGUGAAGGGGUGGUGGAGGGGGCCGGCAUGGUCCAAGAACUGGACCUUACCCUCCAAGCCCUGGGGCUGCCCAGACCUGCACCAGGGACCCCCGCCAGCCAGCUGCUGCAGGAGUUGCAUGCUAAGAUCUCAGAGCUGCAGCCUUCUCUGCCCCCAGGGUCCCUGCAGCCCCUCCUCAGCUGCUCGCUAGAUGCACCCAGAUGGGAAGCGUUGGAGUCUCUGUCCCAAAGCCUCAGAGAUCAGUACCGCUGCCGCCGCUGCCUCCUCCUCAAGCGCCUUGACCUCACUACAUCUGCUUUCCACUGGAGUGACCGGGCAGAGGUGUGGUGGGCAGGGGACCGUGCAGAAUUGGAGAGGCCCAGUUGUGGGGGCUGCAGUUGCAGGGAGGAGGAAUGAGGGCCAGGAGUAUCACCCUCUUGCAGGUUCUCAGGCCGUGGACAUUUUAUAAUUUUUUGAGGUUUGGGGCUCCUAGAAUCUCAGGGUCCCAGGGUAUUGUUGAAUUCCCAGCUCUGAGCUGGGAGUAUAUUCAGAGGCAUACCCCAUCAUUUUUUUUUUUUGAGAUGGGGUCUCGCUCUGUUGCCAGGCUGGAGUGUGGUGGUGCGAUCUCAGCUCACUGCAACCUCCGACUCCCGGGUUCAAGUGAUUCUCCUGCCUCAGCCUCCUGAGUAGCUGGGAUUACAGGCACAUGCCACCAUGCCCAGCUAAUUUUUGUAUUUUUAGUAGAGACAGGGUUUCACCAUGUUGGCUAGGAUGGUCUCGAUCUCCUGACCUUGUGAUCUGCCUGUCUCGGCCUCCCAAAGUGCUAGGAUUACAGGCAUGAGCCACUGCACCCAGCCUUUUUUUUUAAUUUUUUUUUUUUUUUUUUUUUUUGAGACAGAGUUUUGCUUUUCUUGGCCAGGCUGGAGUGCAAUGGUGCGAUCUUGGCUCACCGCAACCUCCGCCUCCUGGGUUCAAGUGAUUUUCUUGCCUCAGCCUCCCGAGUAGCUGGGAUUUCAGGCAGGCACCACCACGCCGGGCUAAUUUUGUAUUUUUUAGUACAGACAGGGUUUCUCCAUGUUGGUUAGGCUGGUCUCAAACUCCCAACCUCAGGUGAUCUGCCUGCCUUGGCCUUCCAAGGUUCUGGGAUUGCAGGCAUGAGCCACCACGCCUGGCCAAGUGUACCCCAUCUUUAAGAGAUACGAGCAGAGUAAGGCACAGUGGCUCAUGCCUGUUAUCCCAGCACUUUGGGAGGCCAAGGCAAGAGGAUCACUUGAGCUCAGAAGUUUGAGACCACCUUGGGCAACAUAGCAAGACCCCCAUCUCUACUAAAAAUUAAAAAAAAAAAAUUAGCUGGGCAUGGUGGCGCAUGCUUGUCAUCUCAGUUACUCAGGAGGCUAAGGUAGGAGGAUCACUUGAGCCCAGGAGAUUGAGGCUGCAGUGAGCCACCAUCACGCCACUGCACUCCAGGCUGGGUGACAGCGAGACCCUGUCUCAAAAAAUAAAUAUUUAUUUGAGCUGUGGGCAGUGAGGUCUUGAAUGGUAAAGUGAUGCUUCCAAGAUGACAGGUCCCACUUGGGGAAGGGCUCCAGGGUACCUUCUCUUACCUCCUCCCCACUCCAGGCCCAAGGAGAGGCCAUGAGGGCAGUGCUGAUCCCAAUUCGAGAGGUUCUGACCCCAGAAUCGGAUAUCUCCAUUGCACACGUUCUGGCUGCCCGAGCCGACCUGUCUUGUCUCGUCCCAGCCACCAGCGUGGCUGUCCGCAGAGGGACCUGCUGUGCCAUCAACAAGGUGGGCAUCUGGGGUAGGGAAGGGCCGUGGCAUCCUUGGCCUUCAGAUUGGCCUUUCAGCCUCUGCUCCAGUCCAAGUUUCAGACUUACCACCUCUAAUCCACCCACUAGACAUGGCAGCUAGAAGGACCUCGCUCACACAAAAACUGACUGUGGACUCCCCAGCUCAGAAUGCUUCCGUGGCUCCCUAAUGAUCUGAAAACAAAGUCUAGCUAUUUACUGAGCCCCUGGCUACUUCUCCAGCUUGGGCUUAAAAUCCUUCCCUAUCACCAAACACUACCUAUUUGUUGUUUUUUAACCUUUUUUUUUUCAAGACAGAGUCUUGCUCUGUCACCCAGGCUGCAAUGCAGUGGCUUGAUCUUGGCUCACUGCAACCUCCACCUCCCGGGUUCAAGCGAUUCUCCUGCCUCAGCCUACCGAGUAGCUGGGAUUACAGGCACCCACCACCAUGUCCGGCUAAUUUUUGUAUUUUUAGUAGUGACGGGGUUUCACCAUAUUGGUCAGGCUGGUCUUGAAGUCCUGACCUUGUGAUCUACCCGCCGUGGCCUCCUAAAGUGCUGGGAUUACAGGUGUGAGAAACCGCACCCUUUUAACCAUUAAAAAAAAAAAACAAAGACAGAAAUAGGCCAGGCACAGUGGCUCACGCCUGUAAUCCCAGCACUUUGGGAGGCCGAGGCAGGCGGAUCACGAGGUCAGGAGAUCGAGACCAUCCUGGCUAACACGGUGAAACCCCAUCUCUACUAAAAAUACAAAAAAAAAAUUAGCCGGGUGUGGUGGCAGACACCUGUAGUCCCAGCUACUCAGGAGGCUGAGGCAGGAGAAUGGCGUGAACCCAGGAGGCGGAGCUUGCGGUGAGCCGAGAUGGCACCACUGCACUCCAGCCUGGGCGACAGAGCAAGACUCUGUCUCAAACAAACAAACAAACAAAAAACAGAAAUACCCUCUGUUUUAGUGAUUAGGUAUCUAGCCGCAUGCCUCUGUAAGUAGUCUUAUGUAAAAUGAGUAUUAGGGAAUAAAGUCUAACACAGCAACUAUUGAGGCAAAAUUUAAGUUAAGAAAAAAAAUGAGCCUGAGGUGGGUGGAUCACUUGAGCCCAGGAGCAGAGGUUGCAGUGAGCCAGGUUCUCGCCACUGAGCUCCAGCCUGGGCGACAGAGCCUAGGCGACUCUGUCUCAAAAAAAAAAAAAAGAAAAGUAGGCUGGGUGCAGUGGCUCACACUUGUAAUCCCAGCACUUUGGGAGGCCAAGGUGGGCGGAUCACAAGGUCAAGAGAUCGAGACCAUCCUGGCUAACACAGUGAAACCCUGUCUCUACUAAAAAUAUAAAAAAUUAGCCAGGCGUGGUGGCACGCACCUGUAGUCCCAGCUACUCGGGAGGCUGAGGCAGGAGAAUCUCUUGAACCCGGGAGGUGGAGGUUGCAGUGAGCUGAGAUCGCACCACUGCACUCCAGCCUGGGCAACAGAGUGAGACUCCGUCUCAAAAAAAAGAAAAGAAAAAAGAAAGCUCAUGCUAGUAUCUUCCACCAGUUCAGUCCCCCCUCCCCCAGCCACUGUACUCAAAUAGUCAACAUCUGCUGUUUCUUCUUCAGCCUCAUGCUGUUCCCUUCGCUCUCUGGCCCCCUUGUCCAAGAUACUUUUUUUCUCUGCAACUCAAAUCUCAUAAACUCUCAGGUGCUUAUGGGCAACGUUCCAGACCGGGGGGGCCGCCCAAAUGAGCUGGAGCCUCCCAUGCCCACCUGGAGGAGCCGAAGAGAGGAUGGAGGCCCCCAGUGUUGGGGUCGCAAGAAGAAGAAGAAGAAGAAGUAAAGGGGGACUGGUGGUCGGGGGCGGGGGGUCCUCCAUGAGAUGCUAAUGCUAUCGGUAAUCUCUGGGGAGUCCGUUUAAGGCUUUCCUUGGUAUUUGGCACCCAAGCCCCCCAUCUCCUAUUCCUGAGUCCCCAAAUGCCCUGCUCCCAUUCACGUCAAUACCAAGAACCAUGUUCUCCAGAGAAUAAAUUUAAUUUAUGAC
rnacentral:sRNA from 1 species